rnacentral:rRNA from 1 species
AUUGAACGCUGGCGGCAUGCUUUACACAUGCAAGUCGAACGGCAGCACGGGUGCUUGCACCUGGUGGCGAGUGGCGGACGGGUGAGUAAUACAUCGGAACGUGUCCAGAAGAGGGGGAUAACGCAUCGAAAGAUGUGCUAAUACCGCAUAUGCUCUGAGGAGGAAAGUAGGGGAUCGAAAGACCUUACGCUUUUGGAGCGGCCGAUGUCUGAUUAGCUAGUUGGUGGGGUAAGGGCCUACCAAGGCGACGAUCAGUAGUUGGUCUGAGAGGACGACCAGCCACACUGGGACUGAGACACGGCCCAGACUCCUACGGGAGGCAGCAGUGGGGAAUUUUGGACAAUGGGCGCAAGCCUGAUCCAGCAAUGCCGCGUGAGUGAAGAAGGCCUUCGGUUGUAAGCUCUUCUAGUCGAGAAGAAAGGACUGCAGUGAAUAACU